rnacentral:rRNA from 1 species
UACGUAGGGUGCAAGCGUUAAUCGGAAUUAUUGGGCGUAAAGAGCUCGUAGGCGGUUUGUCGCGUCGGCUGUGAAAACUCGGGGCUCAACCCCGAGCCUGCAGUCGAUACGGGCAAACUAGAGUGUGGUAGGGGAGACUGGAAUUCCUGGUGUAGCGGUGGAAUGCGCAGAUAUCAGGAGGAACACCGGUGGCGAAGGCGGGUCUCUGGGCAGUAACUGACGCUGAGGAGCGAAAGCGUGGGGAGCGAACAGG